rnacentral:rRNA from 1 species
UUUAAAUGUAAAAAAUAAUACUAAAGUAGUAAUAGUUAUGUUCUUUAAAUUUAAAGAAUUUGGCGGUAUUUUAGUCUUUUCAGAGGAACCUGUUCUGUAAUUGAUAGUCCACGAUUAACUUUACUUGAUUUAAUAAUUUGUAUAUCGUCGUUUAUAAAUGAUUUUAUAAGAAUAAAAAUUUUUAAGAUUUUAAAUUAAAAAAUAUAUCAGAUCAAGGUGCAGUUUAUAAUUAAGAAGAAAUGGGUUACAAUAAAUUUAUUUAUACGGAUAAGUAGAUUAAAUUUUAUUUUGAAGGAGGAUUUGAUAGUAAUAAAAUUUAUUUAAAUUUUAUGAUUUUAGCUCUAAAAUAUGU